UGCCAGCCGCCGCGGUAAUACGGAGGGGGCUAGCGUUGUUCGGAAUUACUGGGCGUAAAGCGCGCGUAGGCGGGCUGUUAAGUCGGGGGUGAAAUCCCGGGGCUCAACCCCGGAACUGCCUUCGAUACUGGCAGCCUAGAGAUCUGGAGAGGCGAGUGGAAUUCCGAGUGUAGAGGUGAAAUUCGUAGAUAUUCGGAGGAACACCAGUGGCGAAGGCGGCUCGCUGGCCAGAUACUGACGCUGAGGUGCGAAAGCGUGGGGAGCAAACAGGAUUAGAUA
rnacentral:rRNA from 1 species